UNCGGAUUUAUUGGGUUUAAAGGGUGCGUANGGCGGCCUUUUAAGUCAGCGGUGAAAGUCUGUGGCUCAACCAUAGANUUGCCGUUGAAACUGGGGGGCUUGAGUAUGUUUGAGGCAGGCGGANUGCGUGGUGUAGCGGUGAAAUGCUUAGAUAUCACGCAGAACCCCGAUUGCGAAGGCAGCCUGCCAAGCCAUGACUGACGCUGAUGCACGAAAGCGUGGGGAUCAAACAGGAUUAGAUACCCUGGUAGUCCACGCAGUAAACGAUGAUCACUAGCUGUUUGCGAUACAGUGUAAGCGGCACAGCGAAAGCGUUAAGUGAUCCACCUGGGGAGUACGCCGGCAACGGUGAAACUCAAAGGAAUUGACGGGGGCCCGCACAAGCGGAGGAACAUGUGGUUUAAUUCGAUGAUACGCGAGGAACCUUACCCGGGUUUGAACGCAUUCGGACCGAGGUGGAAACACCUUUUCUAGCAAUAGCCGUUUGCGAGGUGCUGCAUGGUUGUCGUCAGCUCGUGCCGUGAGGUGUCGGCUUAAGUGCCAUAACGAGCGCAACCCUUGCCACUAGUUACUAACAGGUAAAGCUGAGGACUCUGGUGGGACUGCCAGCGUAAGCUGCGAGGAAGGCAGGGAUGACGUCAAAUCAGCACGGCCCUUACAUCCGGGGCGACACACGUGUUACAAUGGCGUGGACAAAGGGAAGCCACCUGGCGACAGGGAGCGAAUCCCCAAACCACGUCUCAGUUCGGAUCGGAGUCUGCAACCCGACUCCGUGAAGCUGGAUUCGCUAGUAAUCGCGCAUCAGCCAUGGCGCGGUGAAUACGUUCCCGGGCCUUGUACACACCGCCCGUCAAGCCAUGGGAGCCGGGGGUACCUGAAGUCCGUAACCGAAAGGAUCGGCCUAGGGUAAAACUGGUGACUGGGGCUAAGUCGUAACAAGGUAGCAAUCACUAGUGAAUUCGCGGCCGCCUGCAGGUCGACCAUAUGGGAGAGCUCCNAACG
rnacentral:rRNA from 1 species